rnacentral:rRNA from 1 species
UACGGGAGGCAGCAGUGGGGAAUAUUGCACAAUGGGCGAAAGCCUGAUGCAGCUAUGCCGCGUGUAUGAAGAAGGCCUUAGGGUUGUAAAGUACUUUCAUCGGGGAGGAAAAAACAAAACUAAUAAUUUUAUUUCUUGACGUUACCCGAAAAAGAAGCACCGGCUAACUCCGUGCCAGCAGCCGCGGUAAUACGGAGGGUGCUAGCGUUAAUCAGAAUUACUGGGCGUAAAGAGCACGUAGGUGGUUUUUUUAAAGUCAGAUGUGAAAUCCCUGGGCUUUAACCUAGGAACUGCAUUUUGAAACUGAAAUACUAGAGUAUCGUAGAGGGAGGUAGAAUUCUAGGUGUAGCGGUGAAAUGCGUAGAUAUCUGGAGGAAUACCUGUGGCGAAAGCGGCCUCCUAAACGAAUACUGACACUGAGGUGCGAAAGCGUGGGGAGCAAACAGGGAUUAAUACC